rnacentral:lncRNA from 1 species
ACGCUUGGAGUUCACAAAUCCUGUAAUGUGUCGGUGGGGAGGGGGAUGCAUUUUAGAGUCAGGAGAUGUUGGAAUUUGCUUUGUGAAUGACGCAGACCACACUCAGAGACUGCAGUGCAGUGAUUCUCAAAGUGUGGCUCAGGGGCACCCCUGGGAAUCCCUGAAACCCUUUCGGGAAGUCUGUAGGUCAAAACUAUUUCCAUAACAAUACUAAAAUAUUAUUUGCUUUUUUAUUCUCAUUGUCUCACACAUGUGCAGUGGAGUUUGCCAGAUCUGUGCACUACUGCAAUCGAUUAAAUGCAGAAGUGGGUGGAAUUGUGCCCCCGUCUUGAAGCCCCCAGUACCUCAAAAUGUGACUAUACUUGGAGAUAGAACCUUUUAAAAGGUCAUGGAAGUAAAAUGAGGUCAUUUGGAUGGGCCCCAGUCCAACAGGACUCAUGUCCUUUAAGAAGAGAUUAGGGCACAGAUACACACAGCAGAAAGACCACGUGAGGACACAGCCACAGUACAGCCACCUCCUAGCCAAAGGACGACCUCAGAAUACACCAGCCCUGCCGACAC